GACGGAGGAUGCAAGCGUUAUCCGGAAUUAUUGGGCGUAAAGCGUCCGCAGGUGGACAUACAAGUCUGCUGUCAAAGUGCAGAGCUUAACUCUGUAAAGGCGGUGGAAACUGAAGAGCUAGAGUAUGGUAGGGGUAGAGGGAAUUCCCGGUGUAGCGGUGAAAUGCGUAGAUAUCGGGAAGAACACCAGUGGCGAAAGCGCUCUACUGGGCCAUAACUGACACUGAGGGACGAAAGCUAGGGGAGCGAAAGGG
rnacentral:rRNA from 1 species